UACGUAGGUGGCAAGCGUUGUCCGGAAUCAUUGGGCGUAAAGAGCGUGUAGGCGGUCCGGUAAGUCCGCUGUGAAAGUCGGGGGCUCAACCCUCGAAUGCCGGUGGAUACUGUCGGGCUAGAGUGCGGAAGAGGCGAGUGGAAUUCCUGGUGUAGCGGUGAAAUGCGCAGAUAUCAGGAGGAACACCGGUGGCGAAGGCGGCACUCUGGGCCGGUACUGACGCUGAGGAGCGAAAGCGUGGGGAGCGAACAGG
rnacentral:rRNA from 1 species